GUGCCAGCCGCCGCGGUAAUACGUAGGGGGCAAGCGUUGUCCGGAUUUACUGGGCGUAAAGAGCGUGUAGGCGGCCAUGCAGGUCUGUUGUGAAAACUGGAGGCUCAACUUCCAGACGUCGACAGAAACCGCGUGGCUAGAGUCCGGAAGAGGAGAGUGGAAUUCCUGGUGUAGCGGUGAAAUGCGCAGAUAUCAGGAAGAACACCGAUGGCGAAGGCAGCUCUCUGGGACGGUACUGACGCUGAGACGCGAAAGCGUGGGUAGCGAACAGGAUUAGAAACCCUAGUAGUCC
rnacentral:rRNA from 1 species